AUCCAACUGACAAAUCCCAAACAGGAUGAAACGCACGUCCUCUAU
rfam:Schistosoma haematobium scaffold313_14, whole genome shotgun sequence.